rnacentral:tRNA from 1 species
GCUCGGUCGCGAGCCUGGCGGCGAGUUCGGCGGCCUCGAGCGCCGCCUUGCGCGCCUCGAUCGCCUCGGCGACCGCGCU